rnacentral:rRNA from 1 species
UCAUUGACGUUACCCCAGAAGAAGCACCGGCUAACUCCGUGCCAGCAGCCGGGGUAAUACGGAGGGUGCAAGCGUUAAUCGGAAUUACUGGGCGUAAAGCGCACGCAGGCGGUUUGUUAAGUCAGAUGUGAAAUCCCCGGGCUCAACCUGGGAACUGCAUCUGAUACUGGCAAGCUUGAGUCUCGUAGAGGGGGGUAGAAUUCCAGGUGUAGCGGUGAAAUGCGUAGAGAUCUGGAGGAAUACCGGUGGCGAAGGCGGCCCCCUGGACGAAGACUGACGCUCAGGUGCGAAAGCGUGGGAGCAAACAGGAUUAGAUACCCUGGUAGUCCACGCCGUAAACGAUGUCGACUUGGAGGUUGUGCCCUUGAGGCGUGGCUUCCGGAGCUAACGCGUUAAGUCGACCGCCUGGGGAGUACGGCCGCAAGGUUAAAACUCAAAUGAAUUGACGGGGGCCCGCACAAGCGGUGGAGCAUGUGGUUUAAUUCGAUGCAACGCGAAGAACCUUACCUGGUCUUGACAUCCACGGAAGUUUUCAGAGAUGAGAAUGUGCCUUCGGGAACCGUGAGACAGGUGCUGCAUGGCUGUCGUCAGCUCGUGUUGUGAAAUGUUGGGUUAAGUCCCGCAACGAGCGCAACCCUUAUCCUUUGUUGCCAGCGGUCCGGCCGGGAACUCAAAGGAGACUGCCAGUGAUAAACUGGAGGAAGGUGGGGAUGACGUCAAGUCAUCAUGGCCCUUACGACCAGGGCUACACACGUGCUACAAUGGCGCAUACAAAGAGAAGCGACCUCGCGAGAGCAAGCGGACCUCAUAAAGUGCGUCGUAGUCCGGAUUGGAGUCUGCAACUCGACUCCAUGAAGUCGGAAUCGCUAGUAAUCGUGGAUCAGAAUGCCACGGUGAAUACGUUCCCGGGCCUUGUACACACCGCCCGUCACACCAUGGGAGUGGGUUGCAAAAGAAGUAGGUAGCGUUAACUUUACGGGUAGGGCGUCUUAC